rnacentral:tRNA from 1 species
GGCAGUGUUGGCUAGUGGCAAGAGCACUGGACUGGGACUUAGGAGACCUGGAUUCUAUUCCCAGCUCUGCCA